AAUGAGGGGCAAGGGGAUUGAUCGAGAAAGAUCUCUUGUUCUUAUUAUAAGUUAUAAGAUCAUGUGAUUGGAUCCGCAGAUGUUUGGUAAAAAGAAUAAUCUUCUCCUUUGAGAAUAAUAAAAAAUGGAAAGUGUUCAAUUGGAACAUGAAAACGUGACUGAAUUGGCCCUAGUUACUCUUGGGGACGGAGUGGAAGAAGGGAGGAGAUUAUCGAAGGAGGAAAAGGAAGA
rnacentral:lncRNA from 1 species